GCUGUGGCUCAGUAGUAGAUCAUCUGCUUAGUAUGCAGAAGGUCCCAAGUUCAAUUCCUGGCGUCUCCA
rnacentral:tRNA from 1 species